CUGUGCUGCCUAGGGUCGAGUCUACAGGGGGGUCUGGUGCGAGCCGGGACCGGAUCAGCCAGCAGCUCGGAGAAAAUCGUUGCCACGGAGGCCCAGUGCGGCCCACUUGCCGGUGGCUCUGGUGCAGCUGGGAAGCAUGCACGGGGAUACCGGCGUCCCCUGUGCACGGCCCUGACGCUGCUUGUGAUGGGAUCCGUUAGCAGGUGGAAACGGCACCGCCUGGGGGCGCUAGCGGUGUCUGGUCUCGACGCCUUCCUAGGUUUGCAAGUGCGGCAGGGAGUUCAGAAGCACGCGUUGGCAUGGCGAAGUAGGAGGGGAGGCCUUUUCCGGUGCUCAAAGUGGGGUCAUUGCCCGGACUCCCAUUUCACUCCCCUGGUUUUCUUCCUUCCUUCCUUUUACCUUUGUCCUCUCUUCUUUUUUACAUUUUUGUCCCUUACGGCACUUAUAUGAGAGUUGGAAAUCAGUGUCGUAGUUGUCAGAUUCCAUCAUCUUCCUGGAGGAUGGGACAGAAGAUUAUUGCGUGCAUCAGGCGCAAGGAUGAUGUGGCAUAUCACAUCCCGAGGACCGUCUAGCGCAUGUGGCACGUCAAGUGACGGUGAGAUCUUCUGCCCCUACUGAAGAGCGGGGUCUUCAGCCUCUCAUUGAAGAGAGACGCUUUCUGUCCAAGAGUAGGGUCAUCGGAUCUCAGCAGAGAGUACCAUAGGAAAGGGAGAAGGGCAAACCACCACCUGUUUUCCUUUUCUCUCUUCAUUUUCAUGUUACUUACAAGGAGAUGGGAAACAAAAUCAUUAUUCCGUUUACUAGGUGUGGGGGAAAUGGAGGUUAAUCCCAUAGCAUAUGCAAAGUGAAUAACGCACAAUCGGGAAUUGAUGUCCAAGGGCAACGCGGUAUAUUACGCACAUGCACCUCCUGGCGCAUGCUAUAUAUAGAAGCAAUGAAAAGGUUGCAGUAUUUCAUAUUUUUCGCUGGGACCUCUCAUUGGCAUCGUCCAUGGAUGACUCCGGUGCCAGCUGGAAACAUGCGUGCUGGGAGCUUCUCCACUCCGAUCUUUCUCGGCCAUUCAAAAUACGCAUAGGGGAAAAAUAUCGAUUGGGUGGUGGAUGGUCUGCGCCUUGCGAACGGAGGAUUUUUGUCCGGUGUGAUGAAUACGAGGCUUCUCCGUAUGGCCUCGGCGCUGACGCAGAAUACAUGCGUGGGUAGCAAAGGGCCGCUAAUUGAUGGUCUCGAUGUCAUCCAAGAUUGGGCGCGUAGGGAGUCUGUCAGUAAUCACAUCCAACGAAUACAUAGGCAUUCAAGUCGAAGUCUUUAAUGCAACGGAGCUUAAUGUACACCUUCACCGUC
rnacentral:lncRNA from 1 species